UACGGAGGGUGCAAGCGUUAUCCGGAUUUAUUGGGUUUAAAGGGUCCGUAGGCGGACUCGUAAGUCAGUGGUGAAAUCUCAUAGCUUAACUAUGAAACUGCCAUUGAUACAGCGGGUCUUGAGUAAGGUAGAGGUAGCCGGAAUAAGUAGUGUAGCGGUGAAAUGCAUAGAUAUUACUUAGAACACCAAUUGCGAAGGCAGGUUACCAUGUCUUAACUGACGCUGAUGGACGAAAGCGUGGGGAGCGAACAGG
rnacentral:rRNA from 1 species